UCCCUGGAGGACUAGUGGUUAGGCCUUGACGCUCUCACCGCCGCGGCCCGGGUUUGAUUCCUGGCCAGGGAA
rnacentral:tRNA from 1 species